UCCUCAUUUUAUUAUUUGAGGUAUGGCCUGCUCAAUGCAAUCAUGUAAAUAGCCGCAGUAUUCUGACUGUGCAAAGGUAGCAUAAUAAAUUGGCCUUUAAUUGAGGUCUGGAAUGAAUGGUUUGACAAGGAUUUGACUGUCUCAGAGUGAUAAUUAUUGAAAUUAAAUUAUUUGUAAAAAUGCAAAUAUGAGAAAGAGGGACGAGAAGACCCUAUAGAUCUUUAAUGGAUUGUUUAAAAAUUUUUAGAUAAUUCUUUUUAUUUGGGGAAAAUCCUGAAAUGGAAUUAAUGAGGAAACUUCGGUUAACAUAAAAAAUAUCUUAACGAUAGAUUUUUGAUCCACUAUUAGUGAAAGUAUGAAAAAGUUACCUUAGGGAUAACAGGACAAUGAUCUUUUAUAAGAGGCCUUAUCUUAAAAGACGUUUGUUACCUCGAUGUUGAAUUAAGUUAUCUAAUUAAAGAAGGAGUUCUUAAAGUUGGUCUGUUCGACCAUUAAAAAC
rnacentral:rRNA from 1 species